GGCGCGCCACACCGGCUCGGUGGCGCUGGUCUAUAACGCCGGCCAGGUGGGCGCGGGCCGCCUGCGGCUGGGCACCGCGGCGCGCUAC
rnacentral:tRNA from 1 species